GAUGAACGCUGGCGGCGUGCUUAACACAUGCCAGUCGAGCGAGAAGUUUUGAAAAGAUUCUUCGGAUGAAAUUUAAAAUGGAAAGCGGCGGACGGGUGAGUAACGCGUAGGCAACCUGCCCCAUACAAAGGGAUAGCAUUUGGAAACGAAUAUUAAUACCUUAUGAAACUUAACUAGUGCAUGCUAGGUAGGUCAAAGAUUUAUCGGUAUGGGAUGGGCCUGCGUCUGAUUAGCUAGUUGGUGAGGUAACGGCUCACCAAGGCGACGAUCAGUAGCCGACCUGAGAGGGUGAACGGCCACAUUGGAACGGAGACACGGUCCAAACUCCUACGGGAGGCAGCAGUGGGGAAUAUUGCACAAUGGGGGAAACCCUGAUGCAGCAACGCCGCGUGAACGAUGAAGGCCUUUGGGUCGUAAAGUUCUGUUCUAGGUGAUGAAAACUGACAGUAACCUAGGAGAAAGCCCCGGCUAACUCCGUG
rnacentral:rRNA from 1 species